AGUCCUUCCAAGACUCGGCCAAGAAAGUCCUCUUCUUGUCGAAUUCUCCAUCACCUCUCCUACUCCAAGUCUGUAAACUUCUAACUUCUUCAUCUCAAACUACUCUCAAGAAAAUAAUAAAGAAUCAAGAGACUAUGUCCGAUUGCAUUAAGGACAUCAAAUCUAGGUAGAACACUCGUUCAGUGAAAGAGAGGAAUCCACCUGUUUUAAUUGUUUUCUACUUAUUUUAUUAAUUAUGUAAUGCAAUCCUAGUCUAACUAGCAUUAAGAGUUCUAAUAGGAAUUUCUAAUUCUGUUUUCUAGU
rnacentral:lncRNA from 1 species